CUUUCUUUGCUGGCGACCGGCGCACGGGUGAGUAACACGUAUCCAACCUGCCCUUUACUCGGGGAUAGCCUUUCGAAAGAAAGAUUAAUACCCGAUAGCAUAAUGAUUCCGCAUGGUUUCAUUAUUAAAGGAUUCCGGUAAAGGAUGGGGAUGCGUUCCAUUAGGCUGUUGGUGAGGUAACGGCCCACCAAGCCUUCGAUGGAUAGGGGUUCUGAGAGGAAGGUCCCCCACAUUGGAACUGAGACACGGUCCAA
rnacentral:rRNA from 1 species